rnacentral:rRNA from 1 species
ACAUAACUGAUGCCUCCGCGUAUCGACUUUGUGCGCAUUUUAGCUAUUAUGUGUUCUUUUAAUUAAAAUGAUUCUUUUUAAGAUUCAUCUAUUAAAAAUUUGCUUCGGCAUAAUUUUUUUUGAUGAUCUUGUUACUUUGAGUAAAUUAGAGUGUUCAAAGCAAACAGAUAUAGCAUCUGUGCGUUUGAAUACUACAGCAUGGAAUAACAAAAUUGAACAAGUCAGAAUUUUUUUGUUCUUUUUUCUUACUUUGGCUUAGUUACGAUUAAUAGGAGUAGCUUGGGGGCAUUUGUAUUCAGAUGUCAGAGGUGAAAUUCUUAGAUUUUCUGGAGACAAACAACUGCGAAAGCAUUUGCCUAAAAUACUUCCAUUAAUCAAGAACGAAAGUUAAGGGAGUGAAGACGAUCAGAUACCGUCGUAAUCUUAACCAUAAACUAUGCCGACUAGGCUUUGGAUGAAAGAUUUUAAAAUAAGAGUUUUUCUUUUCUCUCCGGAGAUUAGAACUCUUAGAUUGCUUCCUUCAGUGCCUUAUGAGAAAUCAAAGUCUUUGGGUUCUGGGGCGAGUAUUCGCGCAAGCGAGAAAGUUAAAAGAAUUGACGGAAGGGCACCACCAGGCGUGGAGCUUGCGGCUUAAUUUGACUCAACACGGGAAAACUCACUAGUUUAAGACAAGAGUAGGAUUGACAGAUUAAUAGCUCUUUCUUGAUUUCUUGGAUGGUGAUGCAUGGCCGUUUUUAGUUCGUGAAUAUGAUUUGUCUGGUUAAUUCCGAUAACGAACGAGAUCUUAACCUGCUAAUUAGCGGCAAAUACGAUAUAUUCUUAUGUAGAAUUGAAUAUAGUGGAUUUGUUGGAUUUUGAAGAAAAUAUUGGAAUUACGUUAAAUGUGAUUCCUUUCCCUUUUCUACUUAAUUUACAUUUCCAUCUAUUUCUUUUUUGCGUAUGAAUGUAUUUGCUUGAUUGUAAAGCUUCUUAGAGGAACGAUGUGUG